GAUGAAGAACGUAGCGAAAUGCGAAAAGUAAUGUGAAUUGCAGAAUUCAGUGAAUCAUCGAAUCUUUGAACGCACAUUGCGCCCGCCAGUAUUCUGGCGGGCAUGCCUGUCUGAGCGUCAUUUCAACCCUCAUGCCCCUAGGGCGUGGUGUUGGGGAUCGGCCAGCGCCCGCGAGGGACGGCCGGCCCCUAAAUCUAGUGGCGGACCCGUCGUGGCCUCCCCUGCGAAGUAGUGAUAUUCCGCAUAGGAGAGCGACGAGCCCCUGCCGUUAAACCCUCAACUUUCUAAGGUUGACCUCAGAUCAGGUAGGAAUACCCGCUGAACUUAAGCAUAUCAAUAAGCGGAGGA
rnacentral:misc_RNA from 1 species